AUUGAACGCUGGCGGCAGGCCUAACACAUGCAAGUCGAGCGGAUGACGGGAGCUUGCUCCUUGAUUCAGCGGCGGAGGGGUGAGUAAUGCCUAGGAAUCUGCCUGGUAGUGGGGGACAACGUUUCGAAAGGAACGCUAAUACCGCAUACGUCCUACGGGAGAAAGCAGGGGACCUUCGGGCCUUGCGCUAUCAGAUGAGCCUAGGUCGGAUUAGCUAGGUGGUGGGGUAAUGGCUCACCAAGGCGACGAUCCGUAACUGGUCGGAGAGGAUGAUCAGUCACACUGGAACUGAGACACGGUCCAGACUCCUACGGGAGGCAGCAGUGGGGAAUAUUGGACAAUGGGCGAAAGCCUGAUCCAGCCAUGCCGCGUGUGUGAAGAAGGUCUUCGGAUUGUAAAGCACUUUAAGUUGGGAGGAAGGGCAGUAAGUUAAUACCUUGCUGUUUUGACGUUACCGACAGAAUAAGCACCGGCUAACUCUGUGCCAGCAGCCGCCGUAA
rnacentral:rRNA from 1 species